rnacentral:rRNA from 1 species
UACGUAGGGCGCAAGCGUUAUCCGGAAUUAUUGGGCGUAAAGAGCUCGUAGGUGGUUUGUCGCGUUGUUCGUGAAAACCGGGGGCUUAACCCUCGGCGUGCGGGCGAUACGGGCAGACUUGAGUACUGCAGGGGAGACUGGAAUUCCUGGUGUAGCGGUUGGAAUGCGCAGAUAUCAGGAGGAACACCGGUGGCGAAGGCGGGUCUCUGGGCAGUAACUGACGUGAGGAGCGAAGGCGUGAGGGAGCGAACGGGAUACGAACCUGGAGUCAGACCAGUC